AUGAGAAGCUUCGACCAAGGUUCGACUCGAGCGCCAGCGAGAGAGCGUUGCCGCAGGCAACGACCCGAAGGGCGAAGCGCGCAGCGCUGAGUAAUCCUUCUCCCACCACCA
rnacentral:sRNA from 1 species